AUCCAGGUGACGAGUCCCAAAAUUGGACGAAACGCGUGUCAAACUGGAU
rfam:Schistosoma rodhaini strain Burundi genome assembly, scaffold: SROB_scaffold0020070